rnacentral:rRNA from 1 species
CAGAGGUCCCGAGCGUUGUUCGGAUUCACUGGGCGUAAAAGGGUGCGUAGGUGGUGAGGUAAGUCGGAUGUGAAAUCUCCGGGCUCAACCCGGAAAUGGCAUUGGAAACUACCUUGCUGGAGGAUUUGAGGGGGGAUUGGAAUACUUGGUGUAGCAGUGAAAUGCGUAGAUAUCAAGUGGAACACCAGUGGCGAAGGCGAAUCCCUGGAAAAUACCUGACACUGAGGCACGAAAGCUAGGGGAGCAAACAGGAUUAGAUACCCUGGUAGUCCUAGCCCUAAACGGUGCUUGCUUGCUGUAAGAGGAAUCGACCCCUCUUGUGGCGGAGCUAACGCGUUAAGCAAGCCGCCUGGGAAGUACGGUCGCAAGAUUA